UACGGAGGAUCCAAGCGUUAUCCGGAUUCAUUGGGUUUAAAGGGUGCGUAGGCGGAAUAGUAAGUCAGUGGUGAAAGCCUGUCGCUUAACGACAGAACUGCCAUUGAUACUGCUAAUCUUAGUACAUUUGAAGUGGGCGGAAUAUGUCAUGUAGCGGUGAAAUGCUUAGAUAUGACAUAGAACACCAAUUGCGAAGGCAGCUUACUACACAACGAUUGACGCUGAGGCACGAAAGCGUGGGGAUCAAACAGG
rnacentral:rRNA from 1 species